GGGUCAUUUUUUUCGAAAGUGUUCGGAUCCGGCUGAAAUAAAGACCAUCUUGUAGAGGGGACCCAUAGGGACUCUCAUACCAAAUUUGAGCUCAUUUGGUUGAAAACUGGCUUGUCGCUCGGGGGUUAAAGUUUACAUGGAAAUUACUAUGGGAAAUGCGUGAUUUUACUUCAAACGCUCCUACAAGCUAAGCGACAAACUUUAACCCACACUUACACUAGGUAGCCGUGUCGGGGGUGGUCCAAGGAACAUUUUUCUCUAAGGGGUCAUGGUCAUCCGUUCAACCCUGAGCUUGCGCAAAGCCGAAACAUCCGGCGACGCCGGAAUCCUUCUAAAUCCCGGUUUUAACGGCCAACGCAUGCUACGAAACUUUGAUUGAAGCAUCAUAUGAAUGAACAAGAAACACGACGCCAAACGUCAACUUGCUAAAAUUUAAGCUCAAAACAACGGUUCGCCGUCGAUUCCGCUGGCCCGUCAGCAAAUACAACGCAAGUUGGUGUCCGGAAGUGCGCUGCAAAAGAGACAUGACGAACUGGCCACACCAUAGCGGCAGAAUUUCAGUGCGUACCCGCGGAUGCCAGUAGCAGCGUCAACCGAAAAAAGUUUCAAGUUGGGGGAGAAAAAGCACCAGCUGCAAGGUUCUAAAAAAAAAGUCUCAAAUGGAAUCAACAUUGACCGUUCGCUGCCCAACAUUGUGAAAAAAUGGCAGCAGAAUCAUCCAGCAUCCUGGAAACUCCCGCAAAACCGACAAAUGUUGGGGAGCUGUUGCCACAGAAGGGGGAGGUAGGCGGCCAAUCCAACGCGGAAAGCAUCACCGGCAAAGCAGGAAUCUGGUCCAUCGAUGUUCAGUCCGUUGCAAAGGGCGUUUCAGGGACGCAAACCGGCUGUAGCCAGAACUAACGUGUGCCGUGAUGUACACGAUGGCCACCAAAAUAUCUGUGCGGGAUGUGGAUCGACAAGAGUCACAUCAAGAACGAAGAUCGUGAGCCGGUGAUGGAAGUGAUUGUAUGGCCGAUCAAUUUUAUCGCGUUACACACGUCACACACGAAAUAGAAGUUACGAAUGUAUUUAUUAUUUUGUGGUUGAAAUAAAUUCAUAAGCAGUUUGUUCUUGAGUACUUCCUUUAGAAGCAAUUUAUUUAAUUGUCUAUCGAGCGGAUCAGCUUCUAAGCAUCUUCCUCGAGCAUCUGAUCUCGCUUGGCCUUCUGGGUGGCGGCACACGGCACAAUUGCCCCCAAUUCUCGCAACCAUUCUGCCGGAAGUGCAUCGACGUGUUGUUCGCAAAGGAUGUCAAUUGUACCGCCGUCGGGUUGAACAUGGCACGUCGGAGUGCAUUCCGACGUCACCAAAACGCUGUACAGUAGGUUCCUCAUCCCCCCAUUGGUGGAUCUUGUCCAAUCGCCAUGAUCCACUUCUGAUCUUGCACAGACAUUUGCCGCAACAAACACUUCCCGUGCCAUUAGCCUCAGUCCAAAUUGUUCCGGAACGUAACCACUUCAUCCCGCUAUCUACCGGAAGUCGAUGCACGCAAUGAUGCGAACUGUUCUCGGUCAACACCGCCACUAACCAAUGACCAAGCUGCAACGCGCGGUUCGUUAAUGUUGGCGAGCAAGUGUGUUGACGUUUGGCGUCGUGUUUCUAGUUCAUUCAUAUGAUGCUUCAAUCAAAGUUUCGUAGCAUGCGUUGGCCGUUAAAACCGGGAUUUAGAAGGAUUCCGGCGUCGCCGGAUGUUUCGGCUUUGCGCAAGCUCAGGGUUGAACGGAUGACCAUGACCCCUUAGAGAAAAAUGUUCCUUGGACCACCCCCGACACGGCUACCUAGUGUAAGUGUGGGUUAAAGUUUGUCGCUUAGCUUGUAGGAGCGUUUGAAGUAAAAUCACGCAUUUCCCAUAGUAAUUUCCAUGUAAACUUUAACCCCCGAGCGACAAGCCAGUUUUCAACCAAAUGAGCUCAAAUUUGGUAUGAGAGUCCCUAUGGGUCCCCUCUACAAGAUGGUCUUUAUUUCAGCCGGAUCCGAA